GACGUAGGGCGCGAGCGUUGUCCGGAUUUAUUGGGCGUAAAGAGCUCGUAGGCGGUUUGUCGCGUCUGCCGUGAAAGUCCGGGCUCAACUCCGGAUCUGCGGUGGGUACGGGCAGACUAGAGUGAUGUAGGGGAGACUGAAUCUGGUGUAGCGGUGAAAUGCGCAGAUAUCAGGAGGAACACCGAUGGCGAAGGCAGGUCUCUGGUAGUAACUGACGCUGAGGAGCGAAAGCGUGGGUAGCGAACAGG
rnacentral:rRNA from 1 species